rnacentral:rRNA from 1 species
GACGAACGCUGGCGGCGUGCUUAACACAUGCAGGUCGAGCGGUAAGGCCCUUUCGGGGGUACACGAGCGGCGAACGGGUGAGUAACACGUGGGUGACCUGCCCUCAGCUCUGGGAUAAGCCUGGGAAACCGGGUCUAAUACCGGAUAUGACUCCAUGACGCAUGUUGUGGGGUGGAAAGCCUUGUGCGGCUGAGGAUGGGCCCGCGGCCUAUCAGCUUGUUGGUGGGGUGAUGGCCUACCAAGGCGACGACGGGUAGCCGGCCUGAGAGGGCGACCGGCCACACUGGGACUGAGACACGGCCCAGACUCCUACGGGAGGCAGCAGUGGGGAAUCUUGCGCAAUGGGCGAAAGCCUGACGCAGCGACGCCGCGUGA